rnacentral:rRNA from 1 species
GGAGGCGGCAGCGGGGAAAAGGAGCAAAGGGCGAAAGUGGGAAUGAGAACCACCCAUGCCGCAGGAAGAAGAAAGUGUUUAAAAUACAAACCCAUGGAAGAGGAAACAAUAUGUUAAUAGGAAGCGAGGUGACGGACCAACGAGAANGAUNNCUNCC